GUGUAUGUGUGCUCAUGUUUAUGUGUAAAUGUUGAUGUGCACGUGUACAUACAUGCUGUAUUGUGCCCUCAACGUCUACCUUGUUUGAAGCGGGAUCUUUUGUUUUCUAUUACAGCAUCCAACAAGCGGGCUAGCCUGCCAUCAGCCAGGGGUUCUCUGCCUGCCUCCCAUCUUGCCGUGCGAGCCCUGGAAUUACAAAUGUGUGCUACCCUGUCUGGCUUUUAUAAGGGUUCUAGGCCUCUGAACUCAAGUCUUCAUGCUUGCAAGCCUAGGAUCUUACCCACUGAGCCGUCUCCCCAGCCCCCAUAGACCUCUUGAGUCUCCUUAUAAAGCGAAACUCAUGGAAUUCAAUGACUGGGCUGGGAGGAGUUAGGGACUGACCCUAGAAAACAAACAAGCUUUUGGUUUGGUUUGGCUGCACUUAUGAAGUCCACUGUCACCCAGCAGUGACCCCAUCCUGGUGUGGAAAGAGCUAGAACAGUAAGGGGUUGCCACCCAUGGAGAGCCACUAAUCUGAAGGCCUUGGUGGAGAGCACGCUCACUUCCCCAGAUGCAAUCCUGCCUGUGUCGAAAGGGGCCUUGGGUCACCCUUUCUCUUUGUGCAACCAGGUCAAGAGAACAGUUUCUGCUUCUUCAUCUGCUUCUUUCUUGAAAAACAAAAAGUUAAAGAUUUUACUUGUUUUACUUUAUGUGUAUGAGUGUUUUGCCUGUGUGUAUGUCUGGGCACCACAGGCAUACAUGGAGGUCAGAAGAGGGUGUCGUAUCCCUUAAAACUGGAGUUAUGGCAUCAACGGGAGUUCUGGGGACAAGAGCAAUAAACGCUUUUAAUCACCGA
rnacentral:lncRNA from 1 species